UCUUUAACUUUAGUUUCUUAGUUGUUUUCAUACUAAUCUUUUGGAAUAUCAAUGCUUUGAUUAUUUGUUAGUCUAGGGCUAAAUAUUUAAAUCAGCUAUAGAUUCACUUAGUUAUAUCGGGUGGCAUGUGAGCUUAGAAUGGGACAAGGAAAAGCUGCCAAAUUUACCAUGAAAGUAUUGUUAGUGGUGUCCAUUGCCCUAAAAAUCUUCGGUUGAUAGUUAUGUUAUAAAUGAAUUAUCUACUCUAUUGGCUUUCACUUUUCUCCGUGACUGCAUCUAGCCGGUUCUCUUUGGUGAACGUGUUUUUUGAAAGUUAGCGGUGGUUGUUUGUUCUGGAUGGAAGCCCAUUGUAGUAUGCUUGAACAUAGGCUUCUCUAGGAUUGUACUUGGUAUGGCCAAUUCAUCUCGGCAUUUUCACAUUUCCAGUUUUAAAGUUUUUUGGGAGAAGAUCUUAGUCUCACAUCAUGUAACUGUCCGUCACUGUUUUUUGCGUGUACUAUUCCAGUAGCUGCAAAUCCAUUAUCAUUUAACUGCCAUGUGCAUCUACUUAAUUACAUUCAUUUCAGAGAACAUGUUAAAUCCGUCACUGUUUUUGCGUGUACUAUUCCAGCAGCUGCAAAUCCAUUAUCAUUUAACCGCCAUGUGCAUCUACUUAAUUACAUUCGUUUCGGAGAACAUGUUAAAUAAAUUGAGUUAACGUUUCUACUUAAUGAUAUUUUGAUUGCACUUUUGUGUUCCAAGUAAUCAUAUGAAAGAGACAUGUAGGUUGUCUGUGCAUACUGCAUUACCAUGGAUGUACCCAUGGAUUUCAGUAGAUUUUACGUUCGUGUACAUAGAAUGCACACAUUGUUAGGGAUGCACCCUUGAGUUUUGCUGGACUUCUCUUUCUCCAGCAAUAAGAUACCUCUACCACUUACUUCUGAUGUGAUCUGUUUCUUUUAUAUUUCAAAAUUUCGGGUAACAAGCAGGAACAACAGACUAUUAUAGGUUUUGUAUUUGGUGAGCUAUGUGUACACUGGAUCUUCUGAACAAAGAUGCCAUGUUUGAUCAAAUUUAAGGGUUCAAAUAGGUGAUGUCAUUUAUGCCAUUGAAGGUUUUUCAGGAAGUCUAUAUGUUUGAUUGCUUUAAUGGCAUCAAUGUAAAAUCUUACUAUAUUUUACUGAAUCUUAGGUGCAAUAAGAAAUAUGUACCCAUUCGUCUCCCAAUAACAUAGGGAGUAAUGUGUGUCAUGUAUUACUGAUCCAGUUUCUUUAUACAUUUUACUUUUCUGCGGUA